rnacentral:rRNA from 1 species
AGUGAACGCUGGCGGUAGGCCUAACACAUGCAAGUCGAACGGCAGCACAGGAGAGCUUGCUCUCUGGGUGGCGAGUGGCGGACGGGUGAGGAAUACAUCGGAAUCUACUCUGUCGUGGGGGAUAACGUAGGGAAACUUACGCUAAUACCGCAUACGACCUACGGGUGAAAGCAGGGGAUCUUCGGACCUUGCGCGAUUGAAUGAGCCGAUGUCGGUUUAGCUAGUUGGCGGGGUAAAGGCCACCAAGGCGACGAUCCGUAGCUGGUCUGAGAGGAUGAUCAGCCACACUGGAACUGAGACACGGUCCAGACUCCUACGGGAGGCAGCAGUGGGGAAUAUUGGACAAUGGGCGCAAGCCUGAUCCAGCCAUACCGCGUGGGUGAAGAAGGCCUUCGGGUUGUAAAGCCCUUUUGUUGGGAAAGAAAUCCAGCUGGCUAAUACCCGGUUGGGAUGACGGUACCCAAAGAAUAAGCACCGGCUAACUUCGUGCCAGCCGCCGCCGUAA